UACGUAGGGAGCAAGCGUUGUCCGGAAUCAUUGGGCGUAAAGCGCGCGUAGGUGGCUUCGUAAGUCCGUUGUGAAAGUCAAAGGCUCAACCUUUGAAUGCCGAUGGAUACUGCGGAGCUAGAGUACGGAAGAGGCGAGUGGAAUUCCUGGUGUAGCGGUGGAAUGCGCAGAUAUCAGGAGGAACACCAAUAGCGAAGGCAGCUCGCUGGGACGUUACUGACACUGAGGCGCGAAAGCGUGGGGAGCGAAC
rnacentral:rRNA from 1 species